GUUGUAAUUUGCAGAGGAUGCUUUUGGCAAGGUGCCUUCCGAGUUCCCUGGAACGGGACGCCNUAGAGGGUGAGAGCCCCGUCUGGUCGGACACCGAGCCUCUGUAAAGCUCCUUCGACGAGUCGAGUAGUUUGGGAAUGCUGCUCAAAAUGGGAGGUAUAUGUCUUCUAAAGCUAAAUACCGGCCAGAGACCGAUAGCGCACAAGUAGAGUGAUCGAAAGAUGAAAAGCACUUUGAAAAGAGAGUUAAAUAGCACGUGAAAUUGUUGAAAGGGAAGCGUUUAUGACCAGACUUGGCCCGGUUGAUCAUCCUCCCUUCUGGCUGGUGCACUCUGCCGGUCCGGGCCAGCAUCAGUUCAUCUCGGGGGAUAAAGGUUUCGGGAAUGUAUCUCCUCCGGGAGUGUUAUAGCCCGUUGCGUAAUACCCUGCGGUGGACUGAGGUCCGCGCUCUGCA
rnacentral:rRNA from 1 species